rnacentral:misc_RNA from 1 species
ACUAAUUAUUUUUCUCACCCUCAAUCAUUCACAAAGAAACUCACAAAUUCCGGUGGUUUUACUCUUCAACACAUGAUUUUAAAUAAAGGCCAUCACGUUACGUAACUGCGGUUAUUUAUAGAUUUUUUGCUGUCCCCUUACUAUGACACCUGUUAUUUAAAUACACAAAAAAAUUUAUUCCUAUAACAAUUGUUACACCUGUUACUUAAUAGUAAAAGCUGUUAUUUAACGUUAAAUAACGGUAACGGUCCAUUCAUUUAUUACUUUAAGCCAAAUGCCAACAACUGUUCCUCAUUUUUUUUUUCCUUCUUGAGUGUUUUUAGUUAUCUCUCACUUUCUCAAAAUUUCGCCUACUUUUCUAUCGUUCUACAAAUCUUUUACUCCUCUCUUGAGUUAUCAUCAACAAUUUUUCUAGUUCUACACAUUUGUUUCAUGCAAAAGGUGAGUUAUUUAUUUUUGUUUUUGGUUUUUUUGCUUAUUUAAUGAAGAAAAUCAUGUUUGAUGUUAGGUUUGUUUUUAAAUGGUAUGAACCAUUAGUUUGCUCAAUCUACAUAGUUAUAAAGUUAACUCUUUACUAUCUACAUAGUUAUAGUUAACUCUUUACUAUCUACAUAGUUAU